GAUGAACGCUGGCGGCGUGCCUAAUACAUGCAAGUCGAGCGAACAGACGAGGAGCUUGCUCCUCUGACGUUAGCGGCGGACGGGUGAGUAAAACGUGGAUAACCUACCUAUAAGACUGGGAUAACUUCGGGAAACCGGAGCUAAUCCCGGCUAAUAUAUUGAACCGCAUGGUUCAAUAUUGAAAGACGGUUUUGCUGUCACUUAUAGAUGGAUCCGCGCCGCAUUAGCUAGUUGGUAAGGUAACGGCUUACCAAGGCAACGAUGCGUAGCCGACCUGAGAGGGUGAUCGGCCACACGGGAACUGAGACACGGUCCAGACUCCUACGGGAGGCAGCAGUAGCGAAUCUUCCGCAAUGGGCGAAAGCCUGACGGAGCAACGCAGCGUGAGUGACGAAGGUCUUCGGAUCGUAAAACUCUGUUAUUAGGGAAGAACAAAUGUGUAAGUAACUAUGCACGUCUUGACGGUACCUAAUCAGAAAGCCACGGCUAACUACGUG
rnacentral:rRNA from 1 species